UCACGGUGAAUACGUUCCCGGGCCUUGUACACACCGCCCGUCACACCAUGGGAGUGGGUUGCUCCAGAAGUAGCUAGUCUAACCUUCGGGGGGACGGUUACCACGGAGUGAUUCAGUGACUGGGGUGAAGUCGUAACAAGGUAGCCGUAGGGGAACCUGCGGCUGGAUCACCUCCUUA
rnacentral:rRNA from 1 species